UUCCGGUUGAUCCCGCCGGACCCCACUGCUAUCGGGAUAGGACUAAGACAUGCUAGUCGAGUGACUCAGGCAAAACGAGUCACGGCACACAGCUCAGUAACACGUGGCUAAUCUGCCCUUAGGACGAGAACAACCCCGGGAAACUGGGGCUAACUCUUGAUAGGUGAAGAACUCUGGAAUGAGUCUUUGCCUAAAUAGAUUCACGUUAUCCUCGUGAAUUUGCCUAAGGAUGAGGCCGCGACCGAUCAGGUUGUUGGCGAGGUAAUGGCUCACCAAGCCUUUUACCGGUGCGGGCCGUGGGAGCGGGAGCCCGGAGAUGGGUACUGAGACAAGGACCCAGGCCCUACGGGGCGCAGCAGUCGCGAAACCUUUGCAAUAAGCGCAAGCUUGACAGGGCUAUCCCGAGUGCCAUCCGCUGAGGAAGGCUUUUACCCAGUCUAGAACGCUGGGGGAAUAAGGAGAGGGCAAGUCUGGUGUCAGCCGCCGCGGUAAUACCAGCUCUCCGAGUGGUGUGGAUGUUUAUUGGGCCUAAAGCAUCCGUAGCUGGCUAGGUAAGUCCCUUGUUAAAUCCACCGAAUUAAUCGUUGGAUCGCGGGGGAUACUGCUUGGCUAGGGGACGAGAGAGGCAGACGGUAUUUUCGGGGUAGGGGUGAAAUCCUAUAAUCCCGGGAAGACCACCAGUGGCGAAGGCUGUCUGCUAGAACGCGCCCGACGGUGAGGGAUGAAAGCUGGGGGAGCGAACCGGAUUAGAUACCCGGGUAGUCCCAGCUGUAAACGAUGCAGACUAGGUGUUUGGACGGCCACGUGCCGUUCUAGUGCCGCAGGGAAGCUGUUAAGUCUGCCGCCUGGGGAGUACGAUCGCAAGAUUGAAACUUAAAGGAAUUGGCGGGGGAGCACCACAAGGGGUGAAGCUUGCGGUUUAAUUGGAUUCAACGCCGGA
rnacentral:rRNA from 1 species